GACGAACGCUGGCGGCGCGCUUAACACAUGCAAGUCGAGCGAAGCGGCGGACGGGUGAGUAACACGUGAGUAACCUGCCUUAGACAUUGGGAUAGCCUCGGGAAACCGGGAUUAAUACCAAAUGGUCUAAGAUGGACUCGCGUCCCAGUAGCUAGGUGGUGAGGUAACGGCCCACCAAGGCGACGAUGAGUAGCCGGCCUGAGAGGGUGAACGGCAACAUUGGAACUGAGAGACGUUCCAAACUCUACGGGAGGAAGCAGUGGGGAACAUUGCACAAUGGAUGGAACUCUGAUGCAGCGACGCCGCGUGAACGAAGAAGGCUUUCGAGUCGUAAAGUUCUUUUAUAUGGGAAGCGGUACCAUAAGAAAAAGCCCCGGCUAACUACGUGCCAGCAGCCGCGGUAAUAC
rnacentral:rRNA from 1 species